GAUGAACGCUGGCGGCGUGCCUAAUACAUGCAAGUCGAGCGAACAGACGAGAAGCUUGCUCCUCUGACGUUAGCGGCGGACGGGUGAGUAACACGUGGAUAACCUACCUAUAAGACUGGGAUAACUUCGGGAAACCGGAGCUAAUACCGGAUAAUAUAUUGAACCGCAUGGUUCAAUAGUGAAAGACGGUUUUGCUGUCACUUAUAGAUGGAUCCGCGCCGCAUUAGCUAGUUGGUAAGGUAACGGCUUACCAAGGCAACGAUGCGUAGCCGAUCUGAGAGGGUGAUCGGCCACACUGGAACUGAGACACGGUCCAGACUCCUACGGGAGGCAGCAGUAGGGAAUCUUCCGCAAUGGGCGAAAGCCUGACGGAGCAACGCCGCGUGAGUGAUGAAGGUCUUCGGAUCGUAAAACUCUGUUAUUAGGGAAGAACAAAUGUGUAAGUAACUAUGCACGUCUUGACGGUACCUAAUCAGAAAGCCACGGCUAACUACGUG
rnacentral:rRNA from 1 species